rfam:Picea glauca, whole genome shotgun sequence.
ACAUGCUUACAACAUAGCGUUAAUGCAUCAUAUGCCAUUAGAACUUUGCAGUUAAGUGCACUCGAGCUAGAGUAGUACUGGGAUGGGUGACUGCCUGGGAAGUUCUAGUGUUUUACUUGCC